rnacentral:misc_RNA from 1 species
GAUGAAGAACGCAGCGAAAUGCGACAAGUAAUGUGAAUUGCAGAAUUCCGUGAAUCAUCGAAUCUUUGAACGCACAUUGCGCCCCCUGGUAUUCCGGGGGGCAUGCCUGUCCGAGCGUCAUUGCUGCCCUCAAGCACGGCUUGUGUGUUGGGCCUCCGUCCUCCUCCCGGGGGACGGGCCCGAAAGGCAGCGGCGGCACCGCGUCCGGUCCUCGAGCGUAUGGGGCUUCGUCACCCGCUCUUGUAGGCCCGGCCGGCGCUUGCCGACACAUCAAUCUUUUUUCCAGGUUGACCUCGGAUCAGGUAGGGAUACCCGCUGAACUUAAGCAUAUCAAUAAGCGGAGGA